rnacentral:tRNA from 1 species
GGACAGGUGUUCGAGUGGUUUAAGAAGCAGACCUGGAAAGUCUGUGUGCCCCAAAAGGGUACCGAGGGUUCGAAUCCCUCCCUGUCCG